rnacentral:rRNA from 1 species
UCUGUGACUGAGUGGCGGACGGGUGAGUAACGCGUGGAUAACCUGCCUCACACAGGGGGAUAACAGUUGGAAACGGCUGCUAAUACCGCAUAAGCGCACAGCACCGCAUGGUGCAGUGUGAAAAACUCCGGUGGUGUGAGAUGGAUCCGCGUCUGAUUAGCUAGUUGGCGGGGUAACGGCCCACCAAGGCGACGAUCAGUAGCCGGCCUGAGAGGGCGACCGGCCACAUUGGGACUGAGACACGGCCCAGACUCCUACGGGAGGCAGCAGUGGGGAAUAUUGCACAAUGGGGGAAACCCUGAUGCAGCGACGCCGCGUGAGCGAUGAAGUAUUUCGGUAUGUAAAGCUCUAUCAGCAGGGAAGAUAAUGACGGUACCUGACUAAGAAGCUCCGGCUAAAUACGUGCCAGCAGCCGCGGUAAUACGUAUGGAGCAAGCGUUAUCCGGAUUUACUGGGUGUAAAGGGAGCGUAGGCGGUCCUGCAAGUCUGAUGUGAAAGGCCGGGGCUCAACCCCGGGACUGCAUUGGAAACUGUAGGACUAGAGUGUCGGAGGGGUAAGUGGAAUUCCUAGUGUAGCGGUGAAAUGCGUAGAUAUUAGGAGGAACACCAGUGGCGAAGGCGGCUUACUGGACGACUACUGACGCUGAGG